GCGCGGCGCCACGCAGGGCCUAACAUCGGGCUUCGCUUCCACUCGUCGUGCCCCGCUUCCUCUCGUCGUGCCCCGCUUCCUCUCGUCGUGCCCAUACCCGCUUCUUCUGCGGACUUCUCCGGGAGCCACCUCAUCGUGCCUGGAAAUCCAUCAAAGAAGUAGAAAAGAAGAAUAAGUGAUUAACAGAUGACCAGAUCUCUUCCCUAGCUUCCCCUUCAGUAAUCUCCCAAAUAAACUCUGUGACCAAACUGUGUGAACACGAUCACAUCUCGAGGAAGAUCACAAGAAGCUGAGGAGCCUGCACACAGUGGGGGAUGGCGACGACCCAUCUCAAUGAUUAACUGAGAUUACUUCCCUCCUUCCCUUUAAAAGUUUCAUGAGCAGAAUCUUUGGAGGUGGUUUUUGGGGUACGUUGAGUCCACCAUCUCCCCAGAUUGCUGGCAUUCUGAUUAAAGGCACUUUUCCUUUUUACCAUUUGUUAGUAUUGAUUUUGUAAGCAGCAAGCAGCAGGACCCCCAUUCGAUAACAGUGAAAAUGUUCUGUUUUUUUUGUAUAAUGUUGUGUAUCUUAAUUGGAGUGAUGGUUACACAUGUGUGUACAAUUGUCAAAACUCAGAUUUAUACACCUAAUAUUUGUGCAUUGUACAUCUAUGUAUAAUGUCAGUUAAAAAUAAAACAAAGCAAUGUAAUGAGAAAAAGUGUAAAAAAUA